CAGGGAUUGCCCUAGUAACGGCGAGUGAAGCGGCAACAGCUCAAAUUUGAAAUCUGGCCCUCGGGUCCGAGUUGUAAUUUGUAGAGGAUGCUUUUGGUGCGGUACCUUCCGAGUUCCCUGGAACGGGACGCCAUAGAGGGUGAGAGCCCCGUCUGGUUGGAUGCCAAUCCUCUGUAAAGCUCCUUCGACGAGUCGAGUAGUUUGGGAAUGCUGCUCUAAAUGGGAGGUAUAUGUCUUCUAAAGCUAAAUACCGGCCAGAGACCGAUAGCGCACAAGUAGAGUGAUCGAAAGAUGAAAAGCACUUUGAAAAGAGAGUUAAAAAGUACGUGAAAUUGUUGAAAGGGAAGCGCUUAUGACCAGACUUGGGCUUGGUUGAUCAUCCUGGGUUCUCCCUGGUGCACUCUUCCAGUUCAGGCCAGCAUCAGUUUGCUUCGGGGGAUAAAGGUUUCGGGAAUGUGGCUCCCUCGGGAGUGUUAUAGCCCGUUUCGUAAUACCCUGGGACAGACUGAGGUUCGCGCAUCUGCAAGGAUGCUGGCGUAAUGGUCAUCAGCGACCCGUCUUGAAACACGGACCAAGGAGUCGUCUUCGUAUGCGAGUGUUCGGGUGUUAAACCCCUACGCGUAAUGAAAGUGAACGCAGGUGAGAGCUUCGGCGCAUCAUCGACCGAUCCUGAUGUUCUCGGAUGGAUUUGAGUAAGAGCAUACGGGGCCGGACCCGAAAGAAGGUGAACUAUGCCUGUAUAGGGUGAAGCCAGAGGAAACUCUGGUGGAGGCUCGCAGCGGUUCUGACGUGCAAAUCGAUCGUCAAAUAUGGGCAUGGGGGCGAAAGACUAAUCGAACCUCUAGA
rnacentral:rRNA from 1 species